rnacentral:rRNA from 1 species
AAUACCGCAUACGAUCUACGGAUGAAAGUGGGGGAUCGCAAGACCUCAUGCUAGUGGAGCGGCCGAUAUCUGAUUAGCUAGUUGGUAGGGUAAAAGCUUACCAAGGCAUCGAUCAGUAGCUGGUCUGAGAGGACGACCAGCCACACUGGAACUGAGACACGGUCCAGACUCCUACGGGAGGCAGCAGUGGGGAAUUUUGGACAAUGGGCGAAAGCCUGAUCCAGCAAGGCCGCGUGAGUGAAGAAGGCCUUCGGG